AAUAAACCAAUUUUUCACUUUUUACCUACAAUUUUUAACCUUUUGUCUUAUCAAAUUUUUUUGCGAUUGAUAUUUUUGUUUUUAUUAGAUAAUAAAUUAUGAAUAGUACUUUACGUGUGACUAAUUUUUUCUAAUUUCCUAAAAUUUUUUUAAAUAAGACGGAUGAUCAAACGUUGGACACGAAAACCGGAG
rnacentral:pre_miRNA from 1 species